rnacentral:misc_RNA from 1 species
UCUUCAGAUGAUGAUCCCAAGCCUUCUGGCGAUCUAGACAAAACAAGUCCACCGUGGGCUUUGAAAAACGCUUUCCUUGAUAAAAUUUAAGCGUUUUAUAAGAGGAUGCCGGGGAAGGUUUUCCGGUUUAUCCCGGAGGGCUUGUAGCUCAGUUGGUUAGAGCGCGCGCUUGAUAAGCGUGAGGUCGGAGGUUCAAGUCCUCCCAGGCCCACCAGUUUAUCCAUUACUUUCAUAAGUGCUUUUAAAAAAUAAGUACUUCUAAAAAGAUUGCUUCUAAAAAGCUUAUCAAAAUUAGCAGGCUUAUUGCUUUUGUGUGAGUAAUCCAAAGUUAAAGCAAAUUAAUGGCAAAAAAAACAGUUCAAAUGCUAAAUACUAAGGAGUCAAAAUUCCUUGCAAAGUGAUUUUUACAGCGUCCAUUUGGUUGAUAUAAAUUCCAAAUGCUCAUAGACGUCAAUGCCUAUAUGAAACUAUCGGUUCAAUCAUAUCGCUUUGAGUUAUAUAAAUUUUGUAAUCCCUCUUUUGAUCGUUUUAAACGCUUUAUCCUGAUUUAGGGGCCGUAGCUCAGCUGGGAGAGCACCUGCUUUGCAAGCAGGGG